UCUGGGAAGUCAUGUCCUCUUCGUGGUGAUGAAGAAAAGUUUCUUGUCUCUUUCCAGCUUGUGACUUAAUGACCUUAAUUUGCCACCAUUUCUGUUGCUAAUGGUCACUCUGGGGUCUGAAUCAGCCGGAUCAUUCUUCCAGCUGUCCCGUCCCCAGGACACCCAAUGCACCUCCCUCAACAACACUCAACUCCUGCUCCAGGACGGAUGUUGUGAACAAGAAAUCUAUACCGAGGACUUGGCUCAAUGUUCUCCAUGUUAUUAACUCCUUUGAUCUUUGCUUCAGCCCCACGAGGUGGGUGCCGUUAGGACUCCUGUUUCACAGAUGAGGACACCGAUGCGCAGAGACCCUGACUUCACGUUGAGAGGGCCGGGGCAGCCCAUCGGCUUCUUGUGCUCAAGAGGAAGGUUCGUUGUGUUGCACUUACAGAAGAUUUCAUAGGAACCAUCUCCUGGCAGAGAGCGGCGGGAGCCUGUAGGUGCCCAUUCAGAAAAGCUGGAGGCAAGCAGACCUCACCUCCCAGGAGGGGUUAAGCCCAGACAGAGAGGGCACCACUCUACAGGGAUGAGGCGUGUGAGCAUGGGAGACAGACACAGCUCUGGGCUGGUGGCGUGUGGCGCUGGGCAACUUACUUCACCCCUGUGAGCCUCAGUUUCUCAUCUGUAAAAUGUGUCUGCUAGUACUUCAUAGGCUUGUUGCAGGAUUAGCUAAGGCACGGAGCGGGCCAU